ACGCUAGCUACAGGCUUAACACAUGCAAGUCGAGGGGCAGCGUGAUCUAAAGCUUGCUUUGGGUAUGCGGACACCGGCGCACGGGAGAAUAACGCGUAUCAAAUCUGCCUCAUACUCGGAAAUACCCUUGAAAAGAUAAUAUUAAUGCCAGGUGUUUUCGAAUUCCCGCGUGAGGCUUUGAACAAGGAUUUAUCGGUAUGAUAUGGAUAUGCUUCCCUUUAUCUUGUUGGCGGGGUAACGGCCCCCCAACGUCUCUAUGGAUAGGGGCUCAGAGAAGAAGGUCCCCCAUUUUGAAACAGACACACGGUCCACACUCCUACGGGAGGCAGCAGAGAAGAAUAUUGCUCUGUGGGCAGAACCCUGACCCACCCAAAUAGCGUGCAAGAACACGGCCCUCCGGUGUGUACAGUGUUUUUAUUUGAAAAUAAAAGGGGUCUCGAGACCCCCCUUGUGUGUCCCAUCAAAAAAGAGACCGGCUAUUUCCGUGCCAACCCCCGCGGUAAUACAGAGGGUCCGGGCGAUAUCCAGAUUUAGUGUGUUUAAGGAGAGCGCAGGCGGACCUUUAAGUUCAGCUGUGAAAUACCGCCUCUCAACCGUCGAAACUGCAGUGAUACUGGAGGUCUUGAGUGCACACAGGGAUGCUGGAAUUCAUGGUGUAGCGGUGAAAUGCUCAGAUAUCAUGAAGAACUCCGAUCGCGAAGGCAGGCAUCCGGGGUGCAACUGACGCUGAGGCUCGAAAGUGCGGGUAUCAAACAGGAUUAGAUACCCUGGUAGUCCGCACAGUAAACGAUGAAUACUCGCGGUUUGCGAUACAGUGUAAGCCGCCAAGCGAAAGCGUUAAGUAUUCCACCUGGGGAGUACGCCGGCAACGGUGAAACUCAAAGGAAUUGACGGGGGCCCGCACAAGCGGAGGAACAUGUGGUUUAAUUCGAUGAUACGCGAGGAACCUUACCCGGGCUUGAACUGCCAGCGACGGAUGCAGAGACGCAUCUUUCUUCGGACGCUGGCGGAGGUGCUGCAUGGUUGUCGUCAGCUCGUGCCGUGAGGUGUCGGCUUAAGUGCCAUAACGAGCGCAACCCUCAUCCUCGUUUGCCAUCAGGUUAUGCUGGGCACUCCGGGGACACUGCCAUCGUAAGAUGUGAGGAAGGUGGGGAUGACGUCAAAUCAGCACGGCCCUUACGUCCGGGGCUACACACGUGUUACAAUGGGCGGUACAGAGGGCAGCCACUGCGCGAGCAGGAGCCAAUCCUCAAAGCCGUUCUCAGUUCGGACUGGAGUCUGCAACCCGACUCCACGAAGCUGGAUUCGCUAGUAAUCGCGCAUCAGCCAUGGCGCGGUGAAUACGUUCCCGGGCCUUGUACACACCGCCCGUCAAGCCAUGAAAGCCGGGAGCACUUGAAGGCCGUGACCGCAAGGGUCGGUCUAGAGUGAUACUGGUAAUUGGGGCUAAG
rnacentral:rRNA from 1 species